rnacentral:rRNA from 1 species
CGGGGGGACCACCCCCCAAGCCUAAAUACUCCCUAGUGACCGAUAGUGAAGCAGUACUGUGAAGGAAAGGUGAAAAGGACCCCGGGAGGGGAGUGAAAGAGAACCUGAAACCUUGUGCUUACAAACAGUCAAAGGACGCAAGUCUGAUGGCGUACUUUUUGUAGAACGGUCCGGCGAGUUACUAAUGCCAGCGAGGUUAAGAUGUCAGAAGCAUCGGAGCCGAAGGGAAACCAAGUCUGAAUAGGGCGUAGAGUUGGUAUUAGUAGACCCGAAACCGGGUGACCUAUCCAUGUCCAGGUUGAAGGAACCGUAAAAGGUUUUGGAGGACCGAACACACAUGUGUUGAAAAACGUGGUGAUGAGGUGUGGAUAGCGGAGAAAUUCCAAUCGAACUCGGAGAUAGCUGGUUCUCCUCGAAAUAGCUUUAGGGCUAGCCUCGAGCUGGAGUCUAACGGAGGUAAAGCACUGAACUGACGCGGGGCCCAAAAAGGUUACCAACUCAUAUCAAACUAAGAAUGCCGUCAAGAUACCCUCGGGAGUCAGACUACGGGAGAUAAGUUUCGUGGUCAAAAGGGAAAGAGCCCAGACCGACAGCUAAGGUCCCAAAGUGUGUGUUAAGUGGAAAAGGAUGUUAGGUUUCUAAGACAACUAGGAUGUUGGCUCAGAAGCAGCCACUCAUUUAAAGAGUGCGUAACAGCUCACUAGUCGAGAGGUCUAGCGCCGAAAAUGUCCGGGGCUAAAACACACCACCGAAGCUACGGAAUUACCUAUGGUAAUUGGUAGAGGAGCAUUCUGUAAGGACGAAGCGUAAUUGAAAGAGAGCGUGGACGAAACAGAAGAGAGAAUGCCGGAAUGAGUAGCGAGAUAUAUGUAAGAAACAUAUAGGCCGAAUAUCUAAGGUUUCCUGAGUAAAGCUGAUCUUCUCAGGGUAAGUCGGGACCUAAGGCGAGGACGAGAGUCGUAGUCGAUGGACAACUGGUAGAGAUUCCAGUACUAUGUAUAAUCAGAACUGUGGGGACGCAGGAGGAUAGGAAAACCGGAGAAUGGAAAUAUCCGGCUAAGUACAAAGGUGUGAGUGAUAGGCAAAUCCGUCACUAUUAGCUGAAGUACGAAUGGGAGCGAAGAAAAGUAGCGAAGUUUCUGAAUCCACACUGUCAAGAAAAGCCGCUAUUGCGUUAUACGUACCCGUACCGCAAACCGACACAGGUAGACGAGGAGAAAAUCCACAGACCGACGGGAGAAGUGUUGUUAAGGAACUCGGCAAAAUGACCCCGUAACUUAGGGAUAAGGGGAGCCAACGCAAGUUGGUCACAGAAAAGAGGCUCAAGCGACUGUUUAGCAAAAACAUAGGUCUAUGCGAAACCGUAAGGUGAUGUAUAUGGGCUGACACCUGCCCGGUGCUGGAAGGUCAAAAGGAGAGGUUAGCGUAAGCGAAGCUUUGAAUUCAAGCCCCAGUAAACGGCGGCCGUAACUAUAACGGUCCUAAGGUAGCGAAAUUCCUUGUCAGGUAAGUUCUGACCCGC